UAUUUAUCUAAAAUAACGUUAAUUAAAGUAAUAUUAAUAAUAACCACUUUAUAUACUUACUUUUGGUAUUUGUUUACUUCUGUUCAAGUGGAAAUAUUCAUUGCAUUUUGUUAGUUGUUUGGUUGCUACAAAGGGAAACCAUAUUAUAUUAAUUAUAUUAUACGAAACGAUGUACAUACCUUUUUAAUAACAAUAAUACCUUCAAUAAUUAUUAUUAAUAAAUAAUCUGAUUGUGAUUUUUGUUUAGAUUAAUUAAUUUGUGGUUAGGGCAGAAACGUCAAAUCAUCAACGGGUCUAACGGUGUUGCCAGCUUCUUGAAGUUUUCUUAAAUCAUAUUUCACCUCAUUCAUAUUUAGUCUCUAAAUAAUUAAUUUUAGCAUUUAACUUAUUUUAAUACUUUUAUUUAUUAAUGAUCUUAAACUCUUAUCAAUUGUAUCUAGUUGUAAUUGCAUUUAACUUAUUAUUAUUGUUUGAUUUAUUAUUAAGUUUCUUUUAUUAUCGGAUUACUCCUGGCAACAUUGGUACUUAACUGGUUGCGGAUGUACCUAGGGAUUUUAUAGCUAAAUUUAUAUCAGGAAGGGGUAUCGAUAUUAAAAUUCCAAGCGCCCACCUGUCUGGUGAUUUCCUUUCUUUUCUUUUCGGCACGCUGGCAGUGAAGUCACGUUUUGAGUUGGAAAAAUCCUUUCAUUUGAUUUUGGGAAAGGUUAAUAAUUCUCUACGUUUAAUUGAUAUUAUGUAUAUCAUACAGCUACGGCUGGAUUGAGACGAAACUAAUAGCGUUGCAUCUUUUGUAUUAUUUCCAAGGAAAUCGCCCACAGUUUGGGCACCUUGGUUUGGUUUUUCUUUUUUUACGCACCAACUUGAUUCCACGAGGGUUUUCACGACUGGCUAGCGAGGUUCCUGUUCAAACCUUAGACGUUCCAAACCAACAGAUAAUCUAAGGGGAAGCCACGUGGUUGGGCCUUCUGGUUGUGCAGCAGAUCCUGGCGUAGGGGAUUUUUUGGGACCCUUACGAAUAAAAGCUAAGUACCAAACUCUUUAUUAGCUCCCUCUCGUUCCUGCGUACUUAAUAAAUAUUGUACCUAUUUUUUUUUGUUGCUUCUGAUUAGUUUUAGUAAAGACCAUAUAUUUAGUAAUUUAAGUAUCAUUUAUAUCGUGGGUACCCCGUUUUUCAUAUAUAUUAAAUUUUAGUAGACUAGGUAAUUUUGUAGUCUAGGUUACACUAACUGGUCAUCUAACGGGUAACCAGUAUUACCAAUUAUUGCAAAUAUUUAAUUUAUAAUAUAGUCAUUUUGAUUUCUCUAUAUUAUUGUAAUAAUUAUUUAAACCAUUUUAAAUUGUAUUGUUUCAAAUGAUGAGCUACCCUACAUCUGAAUAAACGUCUGUCUUGUUAA